UACAGAGGUCCCUAGCGUUGCUCGGAAUUACUGGGCGUAAAGGGCGCGUAGGCGGACAGUUAAGUCGGGGGUGAAAGCCCGGGGCUCAACCUCGGAAUUGCCUUCGAUACUGGCUGUCUUGAGUGCGGGAGAGGUGUGUGGAACUCCGAGUGUAGAGGUGAAAUUCGUAGAUAUUCGGAAGAACACCAGUGGCGAAGGCGACACACUGGCCCGUUACUGACGCUGAUGCGCGAAAGCGUGGGGACCAAACAGG
rnacentral:misc_RNA from 1 species